rnacentral:lncRNA from 1 species
AGCUUGGCUUCACUUUACGUUUACACACUGCCAGAGACUGGACCCAGGGCCUCACAGACAGAGCAAGCGUUCACCACUCCGCGGCAUCACAACUUUUGGAGACGUGAGCUAACUUGUGCCGUGGGAUGGAGUCCAGCGAUUCCCGGACGCUCUACAGACCGCACCACAGCCGUGGCUCCAAUCCUCAUUUCUAUUCAGGAGCGCAUAUAUUUGCUUCACCCACUGUACAGAUACGGGAAAUGACGGACUGAGUGGACCCAACUCUCAGACCACAGUCACCUUCCGAGCAGUGGAAGCGACUGUUCAACGGCAACCUGGGAUCUUUACAGUAGUCUGAGGGCGGAUGCUCUUUGAGUGACAGCCUAUGGCCAGAGAAUCUCCUGCCUCAAGUCUCUGCUGAUGUCUAAAAAUGUCAAGCAGGGUUCGAGUUUCAACACCAUCCGUAGUUCCAAACACCGUGUUCUGUCCCCUGCAAAAAAAAAAAAAAAAAGCCCAGAUACAGUAAGGUGGGGGCGAAGGAGCAACGCGCGAGGCCUUAUGGGAAUUGUAGUCGAGGCUCCGCCUCCACCUCGCGCACGCCCCGCCCACGGAACUACGCUCCCGUCGUGCUCCGCGGCGGCAGGCGGGGCGGCCCGGUUGCUAGGACUUGGAGAAGCGUGUCGUUCGCGCGGAUGUCCCUCAGAGCCAACAGCUCCUUUUAACUUCACGACAUUCGUCUUUGGAGCCCAGUUUGUGCUGGCCGUCAUCCAGGCCAUCGGCUUCUUGGCCCGGGGCGCACGUGGCUGGCUGGCAGCUCUUGGAUUCUUUGGGGUCACUGUUGGGGCUGCUAUGGUCAUGCUGAUCCCAGAC